rnacentral:piRNA from 1 species
UGGGACACACUGCCUUAUACGUCUUUAAAUGC